rnacentral:rRNA from 1 species
GACGAACGCUGGCGGCGUGCCUAACACAUGCAAGUCGAGCGGGGUUGAAGCGAGGGGUAACUCGAGUUUCUACCUAGCGGCGGACGGGUGAGUAACGCGUGGGCAACCUGCCUCAAGGACUGGGAUAACAGCUCGAAAGGGCUGCUAAUACCGGAUAAGCCUAUGGCCUCGCAUGGGGCCAUGAGCAAAGGGGAAACCCGCCUUGAGAUGGGCCCGCGUCCCAUCAGCUAGUUGGUGAGGUGAAGGCUCACCAAGGCGACGACGGGUAGCCGGCCUGAGAGGGUGACCGGCCACACUGGGACUGAGACACGGCCCAGACUCCUACGGGGGCAGCAGUGGGGAAUCUUGCACAAUGGGCGAAAGCCUGAUGCAGCGACGCCGCGUGAGCGAAGAAGGCCUCGGUUGUAAGCUCUGUCUGGAGGGACGAAGGAAGUAGACGGUACCUCCGGAGGAAGCCACGGCUAACUAACGUGCCAGCAGACCGCGGUAAACGUACGUACGU